AGCGAUUUUGGCAAUUUUUGGAGCUUUUGAAGUGGGGGUUCCGUCAUUUAUAAUGAGGUAAGUGAUUUAUGCUAGUUUUGAAUUAAAUACAAGGUUUAUAUUUGGAUUUAGACAUGAAAAUUGCUAGAAAACAGGGGUUUGAGGGAAAACCUAAAAAAUUGAAUUUUUAGAUUUUGACCAUGAUUUUGAGGAUGGAAGUAAGAGAAAAUCAUAUAUUUGAGUUCGUGAGUUCAUGGGUAAACUUUAUUUUCAAAAAAAUUCAGAUUUCGGGCACGUGGGCCCAAGGGCGUUUUUGUCAACUUUUCGAUCGAGGUUAGGAAUUGUUAUAAAUUGGAUUAUAAUGAGUAUCUUAGCAUAUAUUAAUGUGCUUACAUAAUUAUUGGCAAGUUUUGGAGCGUUGUGCAUCGAUUCAAGUCUUCGAAAGGGCGCGGAAUGCUGGUUAUGAAUCUUUGGAACAAAGUGAGUCUCAUUUCUAACCGUGUAAGAGGCAAUUGUCCACAUAAGUGAGUUAAUUGGUUAUGUGCUACCAUUUGUGGGGGCUACGUACGCAUGAGGUGAGAAGAGUCCGUUCGUAUCUACUAUUAUGCUAUUGUCUGGGUAGUAUAGGACCCAAAAAGCAUGCUAUACUUGGAUUAAUUAUAAACUUAUUGACAGCUUGAAUUGCUUAAAUUACAUUAAAUUAGUAAAUAAAUUUCAAAAAUGGUUAAACUUUAUUUUCUUAAAUUGUUAAAAGAGAAUUGGCUUUUAAUUGGAUAAAUGUCCCCCGAUAAAUCCUUAAUUGGUUGUUUGAGCAUGUAUUCCUGCGUCGCACGCAUGAUUCGCGAGCAGUGUAUUUGUUUACUUUAUGUUAACCGCGGCGCAGGAUAGUUCGCGAGCGUAGUAAUAGAUAUAUCUAUGGUUCGAGCCAUUCGACCCUCGGCAGUGCACAGUUUACUUUUCUGUCGGAGUGGGCCGUCAACCUCGGCAUAAUUUGCACAUGCUUACAUUGCUUGCCUGAGAAUUUUAAAUGUUGAUAUUGCCUUUUAUGGACUGAUAUAAAUUGAUAAAGAAAAUAAAAAUUAAAUCUUGAAAAUCCUUUAUUAUUUGUUAAAGGUGUUCACCGUUUUUCGGCUUUGUGAGUUAGAACUGCUACAUAGAUCUAUGAUUUCCUCACAUUUUCAUUAUACUAUUAUUUGACCACUAGAAAGUGUUGAAGUCGACCUCUCGUCUCUACUUCUUCCAGAUUAUACGGGAUACUUGCUGAGUACACGUUGUUUUCGUGCUCAUACUACAUUUGCUGUGCAUUUUUGUUGCACGGGCUUAUGUGUGGAUGGCUUAGUGACAUAGCAGCAUGAUUGGUACGGAGAUUUAUGUGAGUUGCAUUUAUUGAGAUGAUCGCAGUGAGCAGAGUCUCCUUCAGAGUAUUGUAUUGUACUUUUUUCGAUUCCUUAGUAAUUGCUCCUGUACGUGUGACACCGGGUUCUGGGAUGUAUUUGGGUUUAUUCAGAAAUUUUAAAAAGUUGUUUAAAUAUUUCAUUAUUCAUUC
rnacentral:lncRNA from 1 species